rnacentral:rRNA from 1 species
AUACGUAGGGUGCAAGCGUUAAUCGGAAUUACUGGGCGUAAAGCGUGCGCAGGCGGUUUUGUAAGACAGAGGUGAAAUCCCCGGGGUCCACCUGGGAACUGCCUUUGUGACUGGAAGGCUAGAGGACGGCAGAGGGGGGAGGAAUUCCUCGUUGUGCAGGGAAAAGCGUAGAUAUGCGGAGGAACACCGAUGGCGAAGGCAAUCCCCUGGGCCUGUACUGACGCUCAUGCACGAAAGCGUGGGGAGCAAACAGGAUUAGAUACCCUGGUAGUCCACGCCCUAAACGAUGUCAACUGGUUGUUGGGUCUUCAUUGACUCAGUAACGAAGCUAACGCGUGAAGUUGACCGCCUGGGGAGUACGGCCGCAAGGUUGAAACUCAAAUGAAUUGACGGGG